AAGAAGUUGGUGUCUCGCUCG
rnacentral:siRNA from 1 species